rnacentral:rRNA from 1 species
UACGUAGGGGGCUAGCGUUGUCCGGAAUCAUUGGGCGUAAAGCGCGUGUAGGCGGUCCGGUAAGUCCGCUGUGAAAGUCGGGGGCUCAACCCUCGGAUGCCGGUGGAUACUGUCGGGCUUGAGUACGGAAGAGGCGAGUGGAAUUCCUGGUGUAGCGGUGAAAUGCGCAGAUAUCAGGAAGAACACCAAUGGCGAAGGCAGCUCUCUGGGACGGUACUGACGCUGAGACGCGAAAGCGUGGGGAGCGAACAGG